rnacentral:rRNA from 1 species
GACGAAGGGGGCUAGCGUUGUUCGGAAUUACUGGGCGUAAAGCGAGUGUAGGUGGUUGUCCAAGUUGGAUGAUGAAGCCUUGAGCUCAACUCAAGAAAUGCAUUCAGGACUGGAUGACUAGAGGACCGGAGAGGAUAGUGGAAUUCCCAGUGUAGUGGUGAAAUACGUAGAGAUUGGGAAGAACACCAGUGGCGAAGGCGGCUAUCUGGACGGUUUCUGACACUAAGACUCGAAAGCGUGGGGAGCAAACAGG